UUGGUUAAGUUAGAAAGGGCGCACGGUGGAUGCCUUGGCACUAGGAGCCGAAGAAGGACGGGACUAACACCGAUAUGCUUUGGGGAGCUGUACGUAAGCGUUGAUCCAGAGAUUUCCGAAUGGGGGAACCCACUAUCUUUAGUCGGAUAGUAUCCUUACGUGAAUACAUAGCGUGAGGAAGGCAGACCCAGGGAACUGAAACAUCUAAGUACCUGGAGGAAGAGAAAGAAAAAUCGAUUUCCUGAGUAGCGGCGAGCGAAACGGAAAGAGCCCAAACCAAGAAGCUUGCUUCUUGGGGUUGUAGGACACUCUAUACGGAGUUACAAAAGAAAGUUAUAAAUGAAGCGGUCUGGAAAGGCCCGCCAAAGACGGUAACAGCCCGGUAGUUGAAAUGGCUUUCCCUCCAGAGUGGAUCCUGAGUACGGCGGAACACGUGAAAUUCCGUCGGAAUCCGGGAGGACCAUCUCCCAAGGCUAAAUACUCCCUAGUGACCGAUAGUGAACCAGUACCGUGAGGGAAAGGUGAAAAGCACCCCGGAAGGGGAGUGAAACAGUUCCUGAAACCGUGUGCCUACAAGUAGUUAGAGCCCGUUAAUGGGUGAUAGCGUGCCUUUUGUAGAAUGAACCGGCGAGUUACGAUUUGUUGCAAGGUUAAGCGGAAAAAGCGGAGCCGUAGCGAAAGCGAGUCUGAAUAGGGCGCAUAAGUAACAGGUCGUAGACCCGAAACCAGGUGAUCUACCCAUGUCCAGGAUGAAGGUAAGGUAAUACUUACUGGAGGUCCGAACCCACGCACGUUGAAAAGUGCGGGGAUGAGGUGUGGGUAGCGGAGAAAUUCCAAUCGAACUUGGAGAUAGCUGGUUCUCUCCGAAAUAGCUUUAGGGCUAGCCUCGAGGUAAAGAGUCAUGGAGGUAGAGCACUGUUUGGACUAGGGGCCCUUCUCGGGUUACCGAAUUCAGAUAAACUCCGAAUGCCAUGUACUUAUACUCGGGAGUCAGACUGCGAGUGAUAAGAUCCGUAGUCGAAAGGGAAACAGCCCAGACCACCAGUUAAGGUCCCCAAAUAUAUGUUAAGUGGAAAAGGAUGUGGGGUUGCUUAGACAACCAGGAUGUUGGCUUAGAAGCAGCCACCAUUGAAAGAGUGCGUAAUAGCUCACUGGUCGAGUGACCCCGCGCCGAAAAUGUACCGGGGCUAAACAUAUUACCGAAACUGUGGAUGAACCUCUUUAGAGGUUCGUGGUAGGAGAGCGUUCUAAGGGCGGUGAAGUCAGACCGGAAGGACUGGUGGAGCGCUUAGAAGUGAGAAUGCCGGUAUGAGUAGCGAAAGAAGGGUGAGAAUCCCUUCCACCGAAUAUCUAAGGUUUCCUGAGGAAGGCUCGUCCGCUCAGGGUUAGUCGGGACCUAAGCCGAGGCCGAUAGGCGUAGGCGAUGGACAACAGGUAGAGAUUCCUGUACCAGUGCUAAUUGUUUAACCGAUGGGGUGACACAGAAGGAUAGGGAAUCGCACGAAUGGAAAUGUGCGUCCAAGCAGUGAGUGUGAGAAGUAGGCAAAUCCGCUUCUCGCGAAGCAUGAGCUGUGAUGGGGAAGGAAAUUAAGUACGGAAGUUCCUGAUUUCACGCUGUCAAGAAAAGCCUCUAGGAAGAGUAGUACUGCCCGUACCGCAAACCGACACAGG
rnacentral:rRNA from 1 species